UACGGAGGGGGCGAGCGUUGUCCGAAGUUACUGGGCGUAAAGCGCGCGUAGGCGGGUUGGCAAGUCCGCUGUGAAAGCCCGGUGCUUAACGCCGGAGGGUCGGUGGAUACUGCCAGUCUUGAAGGUGCUAGGGGAAGAUGGAAUUACCGGUGUAGCGGUGAAAUGCGUAGAUAUCGGUAGGAACACCAGUGGCGAAGGCGGUCUUCUGGAGCACUCUUGACGCUGAGGCGCGAAAGCGUGGGUAGCAAACAGG
rnacentral:rRNA from 1 species